GACGAACGCUGGCGGCGUGCUUAACACAUGCAAGUCGAACGGAAAGGCCCUGCUUUUGUGGGGUGCUCGAGUGGCGAACGGGUGAGUAACACGUGAGUAACCUGCCCUUGACUUUGGGAUAACUUCAGGAAACUGGGGCUAAUACCGGAUAGGAGCUCCUGCUGCAUGGUGGGGGUUGGAAAGUUUCGGCGGUUGGGGAUGGACUCGCGGCUUAUCAGCUUGUUGGUGGGGUAGUGGCUUACCAAGGCUUUGACGGGUAGCCGGCCUGAGAGGGUGACCGGCCAGAUGGGGGCAGAGAUACGGCCGAGAGGCAGACGGGAGGCAGAAGGGGGGGUAUUGCACAAUGGUCGGAAGCCUGAUGCAGCAACGCCGCGUGCGGGAUGACGGCCUUCGGGUUGUAAACCGCUUUCGCCUGGGACGAAGCGUGAGUGACGGUAAUGGGUAAAGAAGCACCGGCUAACUACGUG
rnacentral:rRNA from 1 species